GAAAAAAAUGGCAAAGAAGAUGAUGACAGUGGUUCUAAUGUGUGUUUUGAUGGUAUCGGUACUGCAAUUCUCUACUGCUGACAAAUCAUCAGCUGAAAUGGAGGCAAAAUUCAAGUCGUUCUUUAAUGACUUUGGCUCUGUGGAAGCAAAUUUUAAGUCGUGUUCUGCAGCCUGCCAUAAGAAAUGCGCUGAUGUUGCAUGUCGUAAUAAGUGUGACGCAGAUUGCGGCAAAAAGGAAGUUGAAAAUAAAUUUAAGAUCAAGAUACCCCAUUGAUAAUCGAGGAGGAUGAAA